UAGCGCUUAGGGCAGUCAUCCCAAGGCUGGAGUGCUCCAGACGUUCUGGGCUACAGAUCCAUGGCCAUGCUGGCUGCGGGCUGGGAGUUGUAGUCUGCUGCACCUGGACGUCUCCAGCUUGGGGGAAGACUGGGUUCAAGUGUGUAUAUAUAAAAUGUUUGUUUUUAGACUAGCUGUUCUCUUCCAAAAGGGUGAAAGCCACUAUGUUUUUUAAAUCUGCAAAUUCCCUGUGAUGGACUUCUCAAGAAUUUGGAAAUAUCCACUGAUUUGGGGGUGGGGUGGAGGCGUGGAUUGCACUGAGGCACAAACUGUGUUUCUCCAGUAGCAUUUGACCAGCACAGUCUGCCCUUCAAGUGUUGGCAAAUUUCUUGUCUGCUUAAUGAAGGUGGAGGGAUCACCCCCUGCAAUUGAUAACCUCUGUUUCAAGUGGCUUAGAGCCCCUAGGAUGACAAAGUCAGAAGGAGACAGGGUUGGCUCGGGAUCCUUGUUGGGUGGUUCUUGUUUUUUCAGCAAGGUCUUGAAUAGUUUCUCACUUCUCACCUCGUAUAUAUCUGGUGAGCUUCCAAGACCAGGUUUAAGUGCCAGGGGUCCCCUUCUCCCCACCUCCUUCCUACCCCACCCCACUGACAAGGCACUCUUGGCCUUAAGCAUGUCAGCUCAGAAUUGCUUGCAGGUAUUAUCAGACAAAACUACCAUUACUGAGUUUUGGGGCACAGGCAGGAAACAAUUGGGCAGAUCCACACCGUAGAUUUCAAGCAAAUCUGGCGCACACUUGAAGCACAUGACUUCCCCCAAAUAGACUGUGGUUUGUGAAGGGUGCUGAGCACUGUAGCUCUGCGAGGGGGAAGCUACAGUUCCCAGGAUUCAUUGGGGUGUGGAGUCGUGUGUUGGCUUCGCUUUAAAUCUGCGAGCCUGCCGUUAAAGAAGGUCCCCCCACCAGCACUUUGAAAGCAGCUGAUCUUUACAGCCUCGAGACCUCUCCCUAGAAUGAAUCAGCUGUCAAAUUUGGCAGUGUGGAAUAAAAAUAGACAUGCGGAAUGGCAGAGGGCUCUCAAAGUGUGAAAUUGUGGGGGGUUUCUUUUUGCUUCUUCUAAAGGGCAUUACCACUGUUUGCAACUCCAUUAAGUUUGCAGAGAGAGUGAGAGCCUUCAAAGGGUAUAACCGGCUUAUAUCGAUUAAAUGGCCGUUUCUCAAACGCACCCUCUUUGUGGUACGCUGACAAUUUGAGGCGGGUCGUAUCGCUUUGCGGCUUCGAGAGUGCAAUGGUGCAGAGAACGCAGUGGAGCAAAAUGGGCUUUUCUUUCUUUCCCCAUUCCCUUUCUUCAGUACCUCCAGACUGCAAACCACCUCGCUGAAAGCGAAGGCGGGCGGGGAGCUGUUUAAUUAGGCUUAAACGAAGCAAGCAGCCUGAUUAUACCAUUAAACCAGGUAUAGGCAAACUCAGCCCUCCAGAUGUUUUGGGACUACAACUCCCAUCAUCCCUAGCUUACAGGACCAGUGGCCAGGGAUGAUGGGAAUUGUAGUCCCAAACAUCUGGAGGGCCGGAGUUUGCCUGUGCCUGCAUUAAACAAUUAAUGCUCGUGCCUCUCUCUUUUUUUAGAGACUUGCCUGCUGUGAGCUUUUGAUCUCUCCCUUCACUUGGAUUGGCAACCUGAUGCUGCUCCCUUGGUUGGAGGUUGGUGGGGACUGGCCUAGUGAUGCCCCAUCUCCCAGUGUGCUGUGCUUCAUGAUCCACCACUGUUGAAGUUAUUCCCCCAUUCCACCAUUGGCAGCGCUUAGGACUGCAGGGUGGGGGACCUCCGGCCCACAGGCUGAAUCAGGGGUCCCAGUUUCCCCUUCCCCAGAAACCCCACCUUCCCCACACCUGGUGCAUCAUGUGGAUGUCAGGUGUGGGGCAACCAAAGGCACAGUUGGGAGCUGGUUCCUGCUUACGCCUGCAGUGAGCUUUUGAUCUCUCCCAGCUUGUGGCCAGCUUGUUUAUACAUAUCGCAUUCUGGUGAGUUUCCUCUCUAGCUGAGGACCAGAUCCACCGAAAGCACAGCCUGACAACUGGAGGCGCAGCUUAGGUCUCCUUUAACAGCUGCAAAGAAUUUCCAGCACAUUCCAGCUUUUUCCCAUCCUGAUGCUUCAGCGAGGAGGGAAGGAGCCUGGCCACCAAAUUUCUCCCGGCUUUAGAAAUCUGAAAAGCGCCGUAGGGCAGAGAGCAGGAGCUGCAGGAAGGAAACAGCUCGUCCGAUGGUUAUAUAUUCCCUUUGGUGUUUCGCUUCCAUGGAACAAUGAGCUGCCUCGUUUUGGGUGGAUGCACCCUUUCAAUCCAGUCUUGCGUGGUUGGCCAAACCGUAGUCAGGACUCCAGUGGGUUCAGUAAAUAGCGGCUCAUAAGGAAAUUAUCUUUUGGUGCCUUUAACCACACCCAAAAAUGUAAGUGUUCGGGAGUCAUAAGUGCUAAUGGGAUCAAACUUGGGGGCAUUGUCAAAAGACACUAAACUUGGCUCUCGCAUCAGUGGUGCAGUGGGAGAUUUAAUAUCUUGAGCACCAAUGACAAUGUGGCAAAAAGAGUGAUCCACUUUAUCUUUCAUCCUGCAUCUUUCCAAAGAGAAAAGUGCACACUCUCCGCAUAGUGCUUCCCUGGGAGAAGUGGUGUCCUCUGAACUUCCCCCCUGGCAUUCAGCUACUAAGACCCCACUGCAGGUCUUCUAUGGCUCAGGCGCAUCAGCAAGCCUGACAUGCCUAAAUUUGAACCAUGGGAAUGAUCUCACGCAUGUUGCUGAAUCAGACCGAUCUGCACAUAACGGAGGAGUUGGGGGUUUUUUAUUAGCAGUUCCAGUGAGACUAAGCAAUGAAACCUCAUCCCACAAGUUGUUGGAGAGCCUCAACCACAAUCCUGAGUAUUCAAGCACUGGGGGCAAAAGUGCCCCUCAUCCAAGAAGGAUGUCAAUUUUUUAUGUGCUAAUUUUUCUCUCCAGAUUUCUCUUUAGCCUGUAUUCAGACAGGCCGAGGAUUGAGAGAGAGAAAGAUCAGUAAGCGGGAAGCAAAGGCAGCUCUUCAGGUCUAAUUACGGCAGAGCUUAUUGAACUGUGCCUGUGUUUAAGGCUCACGACGGAUCUGGGAAGGGAAAAUAAUCUCCUGGCUUCUGUUAGUCACAGUGCCUUGUAUAGUCCACCAAAGGAACAUUCGCGGAAAGGGGGAGAAAAUAACAAUACACAAACGAAACACCUUUCUUUGUGUUUUUGCGACGUGAGCAAUGUUUGUUUUUCACUGAUGAAGGCUGGUUGUGUUGAAGAUGGAGGAGCCUGGAGUGGGCUUCUUCUGCUACAGCGUAUCCAACUCAUUCGGAAGACUGGCGUUGUGUUCAUCCAUCCCCUGCGCUGUGAUCCUGUUAGCCAAGGGCCCCGGUGUCCUUGGAAACUGUAUCCAAGGUUACGGUGUUUUUCCGAGGCUUCAUUGUAUAAGGUUCUGCUUCUCUCUGCCUCGCAGCCGUGCUUUGAGUGCGGGUUGGCAACUACGAGGAAGGUUUUCAUAAGCUGGUCUUUCCAUCUUUCCAGCCUUUUGACUUCAUUUCUCUUUUAAAAAAACCAAAACAAAACCCACACAUUUUCUUUCUUGGGUGAAGCAAAAUGCUAACGGUUGUGCGUCCUUUUGUUCAUUUCUAAAUAUACAGAUGUGGGGGGGGGCUUUUGUUUUUUGUAGGGUGGGGUCUCUGCUUGUGAACUGUGUUCUGUCUUUUUGCAUGCAUCUUAGCCGCAGGUUUUCCUUUUCCUUAAACCUGUUUCAAAUUGUAUCACAGCCCUUGUGUGUCUGCCUGUUCCUUCCUUGACUGUGUUCCAGGAGCUCAGUCCUUUGAAAAAUGGCUCUAUACUCACAGCCACGUGUUCAGAGCACGUGGCUUCCUGCAAAGAGUCCUGCAACUUCUAGUUUGCUGAGGAUGCUGGGAAUUGUAGCUCUGCGGUGUGAAAACUACAGAUCCCAUGAUUCCUUGGGGGGAAGCUGUGCCUCUUAUAGAAACACGCUAUAAACAUACGGUUUAGAAAUGUCCAUUGAUGCGUUUGAUGUAGAAAAGUGGGGCCAGGGGUGGAGAGUGAAGUUGGGCAGUGGAGCCCAAACCUAUGGUCAGGUCCAUCCACGUUAGGAAUGGGGUAAGUUGAGGUCCUCCAUAUGUCAUUGGACUGCAGUUCCCCAUCAUCCCUGAACUUGGGGCACCCUGGCUGGUGGGAGUUGUAAAGCCAAGAGAACCACACGUAAAUCAAGCAACUCAGAAGCCAUAUUUGUGCUUCAACAAGAUGGCUUUAUCCUGCCCAACACAGAUUACCAGCCCUGCAGUCCAAGGCAGGCAAAUAAGGCAAUGCCAUUCCACUGACAGCAGGAGCCCAGCGUGGUCUUUUGGAUCAUGGCAGGCAAAAUGGGGGGUCUCCCCCGCCCCCACGGCAUCCACCACUGGGAGCUUCUGAUAUCCUGAUUUCUCUCCCUCUGUUGAGACGUGCAACCUUCAAAAAGCUCCCCACCCAUUCAGUGUCGUACCUGGGCAGUCACAUGGGGAAGGAUCUGAUGCAGCUGAGUUGCCCACCCUGUAGAAAGUACAGUGCAAGAGCCAAUAUAGAGCCCCUACUCAGGGGGAAGUGAGUCAUACUUAGCCCCCAUUGAAAUCAAUGUGUCAGCAUUAGUUGCGGCGAAAGGCAAAUCCUUUUUAUUCGGUCAAUAAUCUGCCUUGGAUUGGGGCCGUAUUCACUAAAGGCUCUAGAAAACCCAGCAAUUGUGCUUUCAUUUCACGUUUUGGAGGAGGAGGUGGGGAGAACUGCUCUGCCAUGGCAAACCAGUCCACAACUAAUAAAAGGAAUAAAAUGAAUCAAAACCUCAUUCCGCAGAUGCAGUCUGAUUAAUUGCAUAUCAAUGAUUGGAGUGGCAUAGCAAAAUGAUACCCCUUUCUGAAAUUAAGAUAAAAUAAAGCUGCUGUUGUAUUGCUACACUAAGUUAUAUAGAUGUACAGUAUAUGAUUCCCCCCCCCCUUCGGUCUUUUUUUAAAAUUGGUAUUAUUCAGCUCUUUGGAUGGUACCCAAAAGGAGAGGCGAUGCAGCUUUAAAAGGGCUGCUUCAGGAGGAGAGAGAGAUCUUUUAACAUCUUGGCUGCCUCCAAAGUGGUUUUGUGGUUGACUCGACUGUGAUCUAAGGUCUUGUUUUACUUUGCGGUGUGUGCUGUUGCCGAUUUUAUAAAAAAAAAACCCUUUUGAGAGAGAGUGAGAGUGGUCCUGUUUUUAAUUCCCAGUGUCUGUUUGCUCUCGCAGUGGUGUACAAACUCGUUUUAUUGAUCCCUGUGAAAUUUCCUGAUCUUCAAUAAAGCCUCUUGUUUUCUUUUUAUUUUCUUUUACUUCCGAAAAAAAGGUUAUUUGAAGCUUAAUAAAAAUAAAAACGAACCUUCA